UAGGGAAUCUUCCACAAUGGACGCAAGUCUGAUGGAGCAACGCCGCGUGAGUGAAGAAGGUUUUCGGAUCGUAAAGCUCUGUUGUUGGUGAAGAAGGAUAGAGGUAGUAACUGGCCUUUAUUUGACGGUAAUCAACCAGAAAGUCACGGCUAACUACGUGCCAGCAGCCGCGGUAAUACGUAGGUGGCAAGCGUUGUCCGGAUUUAUUGGGCGUAAAGCGAGCGCAGGCGGAAGAAUAAGUCUGAUGUGAAAGCCCUCGGCUUAACCGAGGAACUGCAUCGGAACCUGUUUUUCUUGAGUGCAGAAGAGGAGAGUGGAAUUCCAUGUGUAGCGGUGGAAUGCGUAGAUAUAUGGAAGAACACCAGUGGCGAAGGCGACUCUCUGGUCUGCAACUGACGCUGAGGCUCGAAAGCAUGGGUAGCGAACAGG
rnacentral:rRNA from 1 species